rnacentral:rRNA from 1 species
UACGUAGGGUGCAAGCGUUGUCCGGAAUUAUUGGGCGUAAAGAGCUCGUAGGCGGCUUGUCGCGUCGGCUGUGAAAACCUGGGGCUCAACCCCGGGCCUGCAGCCGAUACGGGCAAGCUAGAGUUCGGUAGGGGAGACUGGAAUUCCUGGUGUAGCGGUGAAAUGCGCAGAUAUCAGGAGGAACACCGGUGGCGAAGGCGGGUCUCUGGGCCACUACUGACGCUGAGAAGCGAAAGCAUGGGGAGCGAACAGG